UACGAAGGGGGCUAGCGUUGCUCGGAAUCACUGGGCGUAAAGGGUGCGUAGGCGGGUCUUUAAGUCAGGGGUGAAAUCCUGGAGCUCAACUCCAGAACUGCCUUUGAUACUGAGGAUCUUGAGUACGGGAGAGGUGAGUGGAACUGCGAGUGUAGAGGUGAAAUUCGUAGAUAUUCGGAAGAACACCAGUGGCGAAGGCGACUUACUGGACACAUAUUGACGCUGAGGUGCGAAAGCGUGGGGAGCAAACAGG
rnacentral:rRNA from 1 species